UGGGGAAUCUUGGACAAUGGGGGCAACCCUGAUCCAGCCAUGCCGCGUGAGUGAUGAAGGCCUUAGGGUCGUAAAGCUCUUUCGCCUGUGAAGAUAAUGACGGUAGCAGGUAAAGAAACCCCGGCUAACUCCGUGCCAGCAGCCGCGGUAAUACGGAGGGGGUUAGCGUUGUUCGGAAUUACUGGGCGUAAAGCGCGCGUAGGCGGGCUGUUAAGUCGGGGGUGAAAUCCCGGGGCUCAACCCCGGAACUGCCCUCGAUACUGGCAGCCUAGAGGUCGAGAGAGGUGAGUGGAAUUCCGAGUGUAGAGGUGAAAUUUCGUAGAUAUUCGGAGGAACACCAGUGGCGAAGGCGGCUCACUGGCUCGAUACUGACGCUGAGGUGCGAAAGCGUGGGGAGC
rnacentral:rRNA from 1 species